rnacentral:rRNA from 1 species
UACGAAGGGGGCUAGCGUUGUUCGGAAUUACUGGGCGUAAAGGGCGCGUAGGCGGUGUGUCAAGUCAGGCGUGAAAGCCCCGGGCUCAACCUGGGAACCGCGCUUGAGACUGGCACGCUCGAGUUCGGGAGAGGAUGGUGGAAUUCCCAGUGUAGAGGUGAAAUUCGUAGAUAUUGGGAAGAACACCGAUGGCGAAGGCAGCAACCUGGACCGACACUGACGCUGAGGCGCGAAAGCGUGGGGAGCAAACAGG